rnacentral:rRNA from 1 species
AUGGGGCGCCGCAGCCUAAUCAUCACCGACUCCGACGAGGAAGAUGCCGCGGCCACUCCUGCCUCCGCCUCCGUUUCCACUGGCGGCGGCGGAAGCGUCGGCCGCCCCUCGUCUCAAAACCCCAGCCCCUUCCUAGCCCCCUACACAUUACCGUCCUCGCCUCCCCCCUCCCCUCCCGUCGAGAUCUCCGAUGACGAGGAGGAGGUCGACGAGAUCCAGGACCCCGACGAGGAUUCCGCCUUCGGCGAUGCCCCCGACGAGAUGCGGGACUCUGACGGGGACUCCCUUUUCACCGACGUCGCCGAUGACCUCUCCCCACCACCUCCCGCUCCACCUCAAUAUCCUCCGCCCCAAACUCCAUGUCCACCUCCCGCUCCUGCUCCCGCCGUUCCUUUGUUCCGAACCCCAAGACCAACCCCGCCUCCCGCAUCCACUCCUCCCUCCGGAACACGAACCCCAGUUCCACCGCCGGCCGCCGCACCUACUCCGGCCCGAACCCGAACCCCAGUCUCAUCGCCGGCUGCCGCACCCACUCCUGCCCGUACCCCAACCCCAACUCCACCGCCCGUUGCCGCACCCACUCCUAUGUCCCGGACCCCAACCCCAACUCCACCAGCCGCUGCCGCAUCAGCUCCUCCUGCCCGAACCCCAACGCCAACCCCACCACCUGCUGCCGCGCCUGCUCCUCGGCCUCGAACCCCAGCUCCAACCCCUCCCUCUGCCUGGACCCCAACUGCGACCCCGCUCACGUCCUCGACCCCACCGUCCGCACUGAGCGCGCAGCUGCGUCCGGUGGAUGCGUUCCUGCGGCGACUCGGGCUUCGUGUACGGGCAGAGUGGCUUCAACAGUGUGCUGCCGGGUUGCCUGGGCUCAACGGCCAUGGCGGCACUGAAGUGCAGGCUAGACAGUGUUUUGAGCAGCUCCUCUUUGCCGACAUGAACCAAUGCGGCGCUGGUGUGCUUCCGGAGGGCGUCGGGUCUAUGGAGGCUGCCAUCCUCGAUGGACCAUUUGUGCUACAGGUUGAUGAAAUCGUCAAUAUGUCUGCCCCUUUAAGGGAAAGAUAUCGUGAUGCACCUGCCGGCCCCAAACGAUGUUUAAAGUUAUCAAUGACAGAUGGCAUCCAACGCAUAUAUGGAAUGGAAUACAGGCCUAUCAAAGACCUGGAAGUUCUUGCACCUGCUGGUUUUAAGAUUGUUAUAAGGAAUGUGCACAUAAAGAGAGGGCUUCUUAUGUUAGUCCCUGAGGUUAUUGAGAUUCUUGGUGGGGUAGUUGAUGAAUUGGAAGCAGCACGUGUAAGACUUGUUUCUGAAGUAAAUAAACCACCUCGUGGAAAAAGGAAACAAGGUGGAUUACCUUUGUCCUCCAGAGCCACCCUAGCUGCCUGGCCACGUAAUGUAAGCGCUGCAAAUGGUGGUGAGCAAGGCAUCUCAAUGCCAAGAACAGUAAACCCCUCUCAUCCAACAGGAUUAGGUAAUGGCUCUCAAGUUGGCGGAACUACACAAACAAUGGAAGAAGAGCGUGUUAACCAUCCUGUUGUAAUAAAUGGUGUCCGAGCACAACGUCAACAUUUUCAAGAAAACACUAUGCAGGACCGAUCUACUUCUCUUACUGGGAACAACACAGAGGCUUCUGCACCUGCUACCUAUAGACAUGAACCCCAACAAAGCACUAGUAGAAUUGCACGAACUUUGGUAGACGAAUAUGUUGACCAUCCUAUUGUGGCGAACAAUGUUGACGAGCAAAUACAACGUGUCCAAGAAAUCACCAUGCAGGACCAAGCUACUGCUUUUACUAGGAGCAGAGGAGAGCCUUCUACAUCUACUCCUUGUGGUGGGUAUGAUUCCCAACAAAGGGCACAUGACAUUGGUGCAACUGGUGCCAAUGGUGCGGAGGCUGCACGGCCUUCAACUGUUGGUGAUAAUACUGGCCAGAUGGAACAUCCAGUCAUUCUAAGUGGUGAAAAUGAAAAACCUUUCAUAUACAUUUUCAACUUGAUGGCACAUUGGACCAUAGAAAAGGAUACAAGACCCUACAUUCAAGGAAAAAUUAAGGGUUUGAUUACCUCUGUCAAACGAUUUCAAUUUAGGAACCGCAGAGAGUACGAGCUUCUUGUGUGCAUAGAUGAUGGAAGUCAAAUUUCAGAGGCCUUUGUUGACAGUACUAUUGUACGUAACAUAAUUGGCCACUCAUGUGAGGAGGUUUCAACUGCCGUUUCUGAUCCAACCUCAGAAUCGUACAUCGCUAUGAAACAAAUUCUGAGUGGAUUUCAGCAUUAUUUGGAGAAAUUUGAGGGUACAAUGCAUAUUGAGUACAACGGACAAUCUUCUCGACCUAUCGUGCGUGAGAUGAACGAAGGUUGUUCGACUGCUGAUGCAUGGCUCCUGCUUCAGAGGCUGAAAACAUGUACGGCUCAACGGCACAUCCGAAAUUUGGACUUUAUGGAUACCACCCCGUGUCUAUGGUUAUCUACAGAUGUACCGGGACUCUUCAUUUAUGGUUCUCUCUACAACGUGUGGAGAAACGAGACCUGUUUACGGAGGUGUGCACACGAUUGA